GACGAACGCUGGCGGCGUGCUUAACACAUGCAAGUCGAACGGAAAGGCCCUGCUUUUGUGGGGUGCUCGAGUGGCGAACGGGUGAGUAACACGUGAGUAACCUGCCCUUGGCUUUGGGAUAACUUCAGGAAACUGGGGCUAAUACCGGAUAGGAGCUCCUGCUGCAUGGUGGGGGUUGGAAAGUUUCGGCGGUUGGGGAUGGACUCGCGGCUUAUCAGCUUGUUGGUGGGGUAGUGGCUUACCAAGGCUUUGACGGGUAGCCGGCCUGAGAGGGUGAACGGCCACAUUGGGACUGAGAUACGGCCCAGACUCCUACGGGAGGCAGCAGUGGGGAAUAUUGCACAAUGGGCGGAAGCCUGAUGCAGCAACGCCGCGUGCGGGAUGACGGCCUUCGGGUUGUAAACCGCUUUCGCCUGUGACGAAGCGUGAGUGACGGUAAUGGGUAAAGAAGCACCGGCUAACUACG
rnacentral:rRNA from 1 species